CAAGCAGAAGCCGGCAUACGAUUUCGGUCUCGGCAUUCCUGCUGAACCUCUCUUCCGAUCCUUUAGGCGACGAAGUGGUUGAUGCCAUGCUUCCAAGAAAAGCUUCUAAGCUUCAGGUAACCAGGAACCGUACCCCAAACCGACACAGGUGGUUGGGUAGAGAAUACCAAGGCGCUUGAGAGAACUCGGGUGAAGGAACUAGGCAAAAUGGCACCGUAACUUCGGGAGAAGGUGCGCCGGUGAGGGUGAAGGACUUGAGAUCGGAAGAGCGUCG
rnacentral:ncRNA from 1 species